AAAGAUUAAGCCAUGCAUGUCUAAGUAUAAAUAAAUUUAUAUUGUGAAACUGCGAAUGGCUCAUUAAAUCAGUUAUGAUCUACGUGACAUAUUCUUUACUACUUGGAUAACCGUGGUAAUUCUAGAGCUAAUACAUGCAAAAAAGCCCUGACUUCGGAAGGGGUGCACUUAUUAGAUAAAGCCAACGCUGGGUAAAACCAGUUUCCCUUGGUGAUUCAUAAUAAUUAAGCGGAUCGCAUGGCCUUGUGCUGGCGACGGUCCACUCGAUUUUCUGCCCUAUCAUGGUUGAGAUUGUAAGAUAGAGGCUUACAAUGCCUA
rnacentral:rRNA from 2 species